rnacentral:piRNA from 1 species
UGUCUUUCUUUUAAGGACAGGGACAAGC